GGCUGGGGAAUCCCUGGCCUCCCUCCUUUCCUUCUGGCUGAUCUUCUGCAGAAGACCUCACAAAAGGGAGCUGAGGGGCCAGGAAGCCUGUGGAUGCCCUGAAGAAGAAUGAGUAGAUCUGAAAGGGCAGUAGAACAGAACCAGAAUCCAGUGCAAAGGCCCUGGGGCAGGAGUUCGCAGGAGAAGCGGGGAGAAGGAACCAGCCUAUGAUCCAGGAAUGCAGUGAACAAGAUUUGGGAAGUUGACAGAGAAUAUGAGGCCUCCUCUCCAAACAGAAACUCCAGGACGCUUGGUUGAGUCACUGACACAUGCACAGUGCUGAGCAUAGUACCAGACACCAGAGUCUGUGUUCCAGAAAUGGAAGAAUAGGACAUAUCACACACCAACCGUGUGCAAAGCACUCUACCUAAAGAUCAGCGCUAACAGAGGAAUAAGCAGAGGCCUCCAGGAGCAAAGAGUGAAAAGUCUCCCAAGGAUUCAAGUACGGGGGAAGUGGGUGGAGCUUUCACCGUAGAAUCUUUCCUGGAGAAAAAGCAAAGAGUGGGACAACAAUGAAGGCAUUAAAAAUAACUGUCAAGUUGAAGAAAAAGUAUUUUGCCAAAGACUAAGGAUUCGGAGAUGACUACGGAAAGGAAAACUAAGCUCCAUGAGAAGAGGGGACUUGCCCAUGUGGCUCAGGGCUCUAUGCCCAGUGCCCUAGACAGUGCCUGACUGUGUGUGCGGAAUGAAUGAAUAACCUUGGUGAUCCACCCAAUGGCACUGGCGCUCAGUGACCUCAUCUGAAAUGGAAUAAGGAUUUUAUGAAAAUGCAUGUUUGUUGAAUAACACAAAGGAGAAUAUUAUCUAAUGUGGCUUGGGGUCAAUAUCAAGCAGUAAUAUUGUUUUAGUAUUAAUUAGAGCCGUGUCAUUGCA
rnacentral:lncRNA from 10 species